ACCGAAUUGGUGUAGGGGUUAACAUUCAGGAUUCUCAAUUCUCCCGGAGAAAGGGGGUUUUCCUGAGCCAGGAGUUCGAAUCUCCUAUUCGGUG